AUUGGACGCUGGCGGCAGGCCUAACACAUGCAAGUCGAGCGGAUGAGAAGAGCUUGCUCUUCGAUUCAGCGGCGGACGGGUGAGUAAUGCCUAGGAAUCUGCCUGGUAGUGGGGGACAACGCUUCGAAAGGAACGCUAAUACCGCAUACGUCCUACGGGAGAAAGCAGGGGACCUUCGGGCCUUGCGCUAUCAGAUGAGCCUAGGUCGGAUUAGCUAGUUGGUGAGGUAAUGGCUCACCAAGGCGACGAUCCGUAACUGGUCUGAGAGGAUGAUCAGUCACACUGGAACUGAGACACGGUCCAGACUCCUACGGGAGGCAGCAGUGGGGAAUAUUGGACAAUGGGCGAAAGCCUGAUCCAGCCAUGCCGCGUGUGUGAAGAAGGUCUUCGGAUUGUAAAGCACUUUAAGUUGGGAGGAAGGGCAGUAAGUUAAUACCUUGCUGUUUUGACGUUACCGACAGAAUAAGCACCGGCUAACUCUGUGCCAGCCGCCGCGGUAAGAC
rnacentral:rRNA from 1 species